UUCUCUCAUACCGUCAACGGUGAUUCGAUGAGAUCCGAUUCGAUGACCGAAACGAGAUGGAGAACUCUUCGUCUGUCUCCACAUGCGUCGUUUAACUUUCUUUUUCACUAAACCAAAACCGUCCGAGUUACAGAUUCAGCGCCAUCAUCGCCUUCUUAACUCACAUUUAGCACGAUCUUGACAUUGAUUGUGCCUUAUGUCGGUCUAUUAUUUAUCUAUAAAAGGUUAGUCUUUUCACUUGAAAGACAUUCUCACAAUCUGUGAAAACACAAAAAUUUUCUUUCUGAUUUGAAAUCUGGUGGCUGCUCCUCCAACGUCAGAUUCUGGGAAGCCAAGAAUGUGAAACAUGGAGUGGAACUGAUGUAUCUUGAUGUGCUCUUACUGGAUUUAAAGGCACUUCUUUUCCGGAGACAUUCAGUCCAACAUUGCUCCCGUAAGUAGUGAACCUUACGCCAUAACAACAGUAGGAGGUACCAAAGCUGCAACAAGCUCUCACGCACGACCACAUGGUGCAGCCUUCAUAGCACUGAGGUUGAUGUCUUAUAUGCCAUGCCAUGAAAUGAAUCUCACAUGUCAUAAGAGCUGCGUUGUUUUUCCUAUAUUUUCUUCCUUCUCUGCAAUUUAAUUCUUGCUUGGUUUCCUCCCUCUUCAAUCCAAGGGACAAGGAACUGGGUUGGUCGGUUACAUUUGAAUGAAACUUUCAGCAAUGAAAAUGGUUUCUCACACUCGGAUUACCAAAAGAAGAAGAAGGCUCUCUCUCAAGUUUACACCGCAGGCAAAUAUUCUCUGAUGUUUUAAUGAUAUUUUCAGAGAUGAUGAUUCUGAUCAAAAAAAAAAAGAGGCAAUCAUUCAAAGGAGGCAAUCAUUUGGAUGGUGAUUCUGAUCAAAACCUGGAUUGGAUCGGCGAUCUUUAAUAGGUGGGAAGGACAUGAGAAGCUAUAGAUGAGAAAGGUCCAGAGAUUCGUAUUUUUUAAUAUGCAAAUGAAAUACAUGCAUUAAUAUGUAUGCGAAGAUUCUAAUUUUCCAAAUUUAUUUUCAGAUUCCUGAGCGUACUAUAUAUUUUUAGAUUCCAAUUAUUACAAGCGAAACUUUUUUUUUCUUUAGUGUUUUUUUUCUUCUAAUGUACCAAUUUGCAUAGUCAACUACUCUCCUUUGCUUAAAUGUUUUUUCUUUUGAACAACGUUGUUUUGGUUUACAUAA